rnacentral:rRNA from 1 species
UACAGAGGGUGCAAGCGUUAAUCGGAAUUACUGGGCGUAAAGCGUGCGUAGACGGUUGCGUAAGUCAGAUGUGAAAGCCCCGGGCUCAACCUGGGAAUUGCAUUUGAGACUGCGUAGCUAGGGUGCGGAAGAGGGAAGCGGAAUUUCCGGUGUAGCGGUGAAAUGCGUAGAUAUCGGAAGGAACACCAGUGGCGAAAGCGGCUUCCUGGUCCAGCACCGACG